rnacentral:tRNA from 1 species
GGAGAUUUAGCUUAGCAGCAUAAGCGCCUGCCUUACAAGCAGGCAGUCAUGAGUUUGAACCCCAGUACCG